rnacentral:rRNA from 1 species
GAUGAACGCUAGCGACAGGCCUAACACAUGCAAGUCGAGGGGCAGCACAUGAGUAGCAAUACGAUGGUGGCGACCGGCGCACGGGUGAGUAACACGUAUGCAACCUACCGGUAAAAGGGGGAUAGCCUCUCGAAAGAGAGAUUAAUACCGCAUAAUAUCUCUGGAUGGCAUCAUUUAGAGAUUAAACAUUUAUGGUUCACCGAUGGGCAUGCGUAUGAUUAGCUAGUAGGUGAGGUAACGGCUCACCUAGGCAACGAUCAUUAGGGGUUCUGAGAGGAAGGUCCCCCACACUGGUACUGAGACACGGACCAGACUCCUACGGGAGGCAGCAGUGAGGAAUAUUGGUCAAUGGGCGAGAGCCUGAACCAGCCAAGUCGCGUGAAGGAUGAAGGUUCUAUGGAUUGUAAACUUCUUUUGUAAGGGAAUAAAAAGAGCUACGUGUAGUUUAUUGUAUGUACUUUACGAAUAAGGAUCGGCUAACUCCGUGCCAGCAGCCGCGGUAA